CCUACGGGUGGCUGCAGUGGGGAAUUUUGGACAAUGGGGGCAACCCUGAUCCAGCCAUGCCGCGUGCGGGAAGAAGGCCUUCGGGUUGUAAACCGCUUUUAGUCGGGAAGAAAAGGCGUCGUCUAAUAAACGGCGUUCUUGACGGUACCGGCGGAAUAAGCACCGGCUAACUACGUGCCAGCAGCCGCGGUAAUACGUAGGGUGCGAGCGUUAAUCGGAAUUACUGGGCGUAAAGCGUGCGCAGGCGGUUCGUUAAGUUCGAUGUGAAAGCCCCG
rnacentral:rRNA from 1 species